UACGUAGGAGGCAAGCGUUGUCCGGAAUUAUUGGGCGUAAAGAGCUCGUAGGCGGUUUGUCGCGUCUGCUGUGAAAACUCGGGGCUUAACUCCGGGCCUGCAGUGGGUACGGGCAGACUAGAGUGCGGUAGGGGAGACUGGAAUUCCUGGUGUAGCGGUGAAAUGCGCAGAUAUCAGGAGGAACACCGGUGGCGAAGGCGGGUCUCUGGGCCGUAACUGACGCUGAGGAGCGAAAGCGUGGGGAGCGAACAGG
rnacentral:rRNA from 1 species